rnacentral:rRNA from 1 species
CAGCCGCCGCGGUAAUACGUAGGGUGCAAGCGUUAAUCGGAAUUACUGGGCGUAGAGCGUGCGCAGGCGGUUUGUUAAGACAGAUGUGAAAUCCCCGGGCUCAACCUGGGAACUGCAUUUGUGACUGGCAAGCUAGAGUGUGGCAGAGGGGGGUGGAAUUCCGCGUGUAGCAGUGAAAUGCGUAGAUAUGCGGAGGAACACCGAUGGCGAAGGCAGCCCCCUGGGCCAACACUGACGCUCAUGCACGAAAGCGUGGGGAGCAAACAGGAUUAGAUACCCGAGUAGUCCCUGUCUCUUAUAC